ACCCCGGCCCUUUUCAGGGCCACCCACAUCUUGUGAAGAACUGUA
rfam:Branchiostoma floridae genomic scaffold BRAFLscaffold_174, whole genome shotgun sequence.